GUGUUGCAAUUACAAUUGAAAAUCUUAAGCUUUCAUACUUGAAAACAAUUGACUCGGUUUUUUGCUUCAGUUUGGCUGGAAACUUUGCAUUUGUUUUCUGAUUUUAUUUCUAGACAGACAGACAGACAACUGAGAUUUCGACUAAAAAUGCGAGUGUACUUUAUCAUCAUGGCUGUUGCUCUACUGAGUUUUGCUAACGCAUUACCACCAUGUGGUCCUGGUAAACUAAAAUGGAUUUUAUUCGUAGGCUAUGAUGUGGGCGGUGCCACUGUUAUACUCGAUACUUUGAAAGAGCCAAAUUUCACUGUCCGACUAGAAUACCAACGAGCAUUGUUUGACGUAUUCAUGGCUAAUCAAAAAAUCAUUCUAUAUACGGAUACGUGUCAGGUGAUGGAUUAUGGAUUCUACGAGUUUUCAGUAGUUUCUUGAUGUAUGACCUUGAAUGUGAACAGCGGAUGCAACUUGCUAAUUAUUUAUAUGAGUUGAAAUGAAUGCAUUUGUAACAUGUAA